AGAGUUUGAUCCUGGCUCAGGAUGAACGCUGGCGGCGUGCUUAACACAUGCAAGUCGAACGAACCUUCGGGUUAGUGGCGGACGGGUGAGUAACGCGUGAGAAUCUACCCUCAGGAGGGGGAUAACGGUUGGAAACGACCGCUAAUACCCCAUAUGCCUAUUGGUGAAACGAAUUUCGCCUGAGGAUGAGCUCGCGUCUGAUUAGCUUGUUGGUGAGGUAAUGGCUCACCAAGGCUUCGAUCAGUAGCUGGUCUGAGAGGAUGAUCAGCCACACUGGGACUGAGACACGGCCCAGACUCCUACGGGAGGCAGCAGUGGGGAAUUUUCCGCAAUGGGCGAAAGCCUGACGGAGCAACGCCGCGUGAGGGACGAAGGCCUUUGGGCUGUAAACCUCUUUUCUCAAGGAAGAAGAUAUGACGGUACUUGAGGAAUAAGCCACGGCUAAUUCCGUGCCAGCAGCCGCGGUAAUACGGGAGUGGCAAGCGUUAUCCGGAAUUAUUGGGCGUAAAGCGUCCGCAGGCGGCUUUUCAAGUCUGCUGUUAAAACGUGGAGCUUAACUCCAUCAUGGCAGUGGAAACUGAAAGGCUUGAGUAUGGUAGGGGCAGAGGGAAUUCCCGGUGUAGCGGUGAAAUGCGUAGAUAUCGGGAAGAACACCAGUGGCGAAGGCGCUCUGCUGGGCCAUUACUGACGCUCAUGGACGAAAGCCAGGGGAGCGAAAGGGAUUAGAUACCCCUGUAGUCCUGGCCGUAAACGAUGAACACUAGGUGUCGGGGGAAUCGACCCCUUCGGUGUCGUAGCUAACGCGUUAAGUGUUCCGCCUGGGGAGUACGCACGCAAGUGUGAAACUCAAAGGAAUUGACGGGGGCCCGCACAAGCGGUGGAGUAUGUGGUUUAAUUCGAUGCAACGCGAAGAACCUUACCAGGGUUUGACAUCCUGCGAACCUCUUAGAAAUUUGAGGGUGCCUUCGGGAAUGCAGUGACAGGUGGUGCAUGGCUGUCGUCAGCUCGUGUCGUGAGAUGUUGGGUUAAGUCCCGCAACGAGCGCAACCCACGUUUUUAGUUGCCAGCAUUUAGUUGGGCACUCUAGAGAGACUGCCGGUGAUAAACCGGAGGAAGGUGUGGAUGACGUCAAGUCAUCAUGCCCCUUACAUCCUGGGCUACACACGUACUACAAUGCUACGGACAAAGGGCAGCAAGUUCGCGAGGACAAGCAAAUCCCAUAAACCGUGGCUCAGUUCAGAUCGUAGGCUGCAACUCGCCUACGUGAAGGCGGAAUCGCUAGUAAUCGCAGGUCAGCAUACUGCGGUGAAUACGUUCCCGGGCCUUGUACACACCGCCCGUCACACCAUGGAAGUUGGCCACGCCCGAAGCCGUUACUCCAACCCUUGUGGAGGAGGACGUCGAAGGUGGGGCUGAUGACUGGGGUGAAGUCGUAACAAGGUAACCUCCGGUGGCCAGCUU
rnacentral:rRNA from 1 species